AUGUGGACCGAUGAGCUCCAAGUUUCUGUUCAUACAGCUGCUUUUCACUACAUUUUACCCAACGUAGUUCAUGUAGUGUCUGGGGUCAGCUUUAGCCUGAUUUGUAUAUAUGGUGACCCAUAUCAUAGGCAGACUAAUGCCAUCUGGGACCAAGUUGCUGCUUUUGUUUAUGAUAAUCUAGGUAAACCCAUGGUUUGUAUGGGUGACUUGUAA
rnacentral:rRNA from 1 species